AGAGUUUGAUCCUGGCUCAGGAUGAACGCUGGCGGCGUGCCUAAUACAUGCAAGUCGAGCGGGGUAGCUUGCUACCCAGCGGCGAACGGGUGAGUAACACGUAGGUAACCUGCCUUCGAGUCCGGAAUACCCAGGCGAAAGCUUGGCUAAUGCCGGAUAACAGCGGACCCCGCCUGGGGCCCGCGUGAAAGCCGCCCCAAAGCGGCGCUCCUAGAUGGACCUGCGGCGCAUUAGCUAGUUGGCGGGGCAACGGCCCACCAAGGCGACGAUGCGUAGCCGACCUGAGAGGGUGAACGGCCACAAUGGGACUGAGACACGGCCCAUACUCCUACGGGAGGCAGCAGUAGGGAGUUUUCGGCAAUGGGGGGAACCCUGACCGAGCAACGCCGCGUGAGUGAUGAAGGUCUUCGGAUCGUAAAGCUCUGUUGCGGGGGAAAAACGCGCCUUGGAGGAAAUGCCAGGGCGCUGAUGGUACCCCGCCAGAAAGUGACGGCUAACUACGUGCCAGCAGCCGCGGUAAUACGUAGGUCACGAGCGUUAUCCGGAAUUAUUGGGCGUAAAGAGUGAGCAGGCGGCUCGCUAAGUCCGAGGUGAAAGCGUGGGGCUCAACCCCAUAAAGCCUUGGAAACUGGCGGGCUAGAGUGCGCGAGAGGUCAACGGAACUCCAUGUGUAGCGGUGAAAUGCGUAGAUAUAUGGAAGAACACCGGUGGCGAAGGCGGUUGGCCAGCGCUGCACUGACGCUCAGUCACGAAAGCGUGGGGAGCAAAUAGGAUUAGAUACCCUAGUAGUCCACGCCGUAAA
rnacentral:rRNA from 1 species